GAUGAACGCUGGCGGCGUGCCUAACACAUGCAAGUCGAACGAAGCACCUUACCUGAUUCUUCGGAUGAAAGUUUGGUGACUGAGUGGCGGACGGGUGAGUAACGCGUGGGUAACCUGCCCUGUACAGGGGGAUAACAGCUGGAAACGGCUGCUAAUACCGCAUAAGCGCACGAGGAGACAUCUCCUUGUGUGAAAAACUCCGGUGGUACAGGAUGGGCCCGCGUCUGAUUAGCUGGUUGGCAGGGUAACGGCCUACCAAGGCAACGAUCAGUAGCCGGUCUGAGAGGAUGAACGGCCACAUUGGAACUGAGACACGGUCCAAACUCCUACGGGAGGCAGCAGUGGGGAAUAUUGCACAAUGGGGGAAACCCUGAUGCAGCAACGCCGCGUGAGUGAAGAAGUAUUUCGGGAUGUAAAGCUCUAUCAGCAGGGAAGAUAAUGACGGUACCUGACGAAGAAGCUCCGGCUAAAUACGUG
rnacentral:rRNA from 1 species